UACGAAGGGGGCUAGCGUUGCUCGGAAUCACUGGGCGUAAAGCGCACGUAGGCGGAUACUUAAGUCAGGGAUGAAAUCCCGGGGCUCAACCCCGGAACUGCCUUUGAUACUGGGUAUCUCGAGUCCGGAAGAGGUGAGUGGAAUUCCGAGUGUAGAGGUGAAAUUCGUAGAUAUUCGGAGGAACACCAGUGGCGAAGGCGGCUCACUGGUCCGGUACUGACGCUGAGGUGCGAAAGCGUGGGGAGCAAACAGG
rnacentral:rRNA from 1 species